AUCGAACGCUGGUGGCAGGCCUAACACAUGCAAGUCGAGCGAGCGGCGGACGGGUGAGUAAUGUAUGGGGACUGCCCGAUAGAGGGGGCUAACUACUGGAAACGGUGGCUAAUACCGCAUACUAUCGGAUAACCCAUAUGGGAUUAGCUAGUAGGUGGGGUAAAGGCUCACCAAGGCGACGAUGUAUAGCUGGUCUGAGAGGAUGAUCAGCCACACUGGGACUGAGACACGGCCCAGACUCCUACGGAGGCAGCAGUGGGGAAUCUUGCACAAUGGGCGCAAGCCUGAUGCAGCCAUGCCGCGUGUAUGAAGAAGGCCUUAGGGUUGUAAAGCACUUUCAGCGGGGAGGCGUUACCCGCAGAGGAAGCACCGGCUAACUCCGUGCCAGCAGCCGCGGUAAUUC
rnacentral:rRNA from 1 species